rnacentral:rRNA from 1 species
AGAGUUUGAUCAUGGCUCAGGAUGAACGCUAGCGGCAGGCUUAACACAUGCAAGUCGAGGGGUAACAGGGAUUGCUUGCAAUCCGCGGACGACCGGCGCACGGGUGCGUAACGCGUAUACAAUCUGCCCUGUACAGGGGGAUAGCCCAGAGAAAUUUGGAUUAAUACCCCGUAGUAACUUGAUAUGGCAUCAUAUUAAGUUUAAAGUUUUCGGACGGUACAGGAUGGCUAUGCGUCCUAUUAGUUAGAUGGUGAGGUAACGGCUCACCAAGGCGACGAUAGGUAGGGGCCCUGAGAGGGGGAUCCCCCACACUGGUACUGAGACACGGACCAGACUCCUACGGGAGGCAGCAGUGAGGAAUAUUGGACAAUGGGCUAAAGCCUGAUCCAGCCAUGCCGCGUGCAGGAAGACGGCCCUAUGGGUUGUAAACUGCUUUUAUACAGAAGAAACCUCCCCACGUGUGGGGAGCUGACGGUACUGUAAGAAUAAGCACCGGCUAACUCCGUGCCAGCAGCCGCGGUAAUACGGAGGGUGCAAGCGUUAUCCGGAUUUAUUGGGUUUAAAGGGUCCGUAGGUGGACUAAUAAGUCAGUGGUGAAAUCCUACAGCUUAACUGUAGAACUGCCAUUGAUACUGUUAGUCUUGAGUGAAGUUGAAGUAGCUGGAAUGUGUAGUGUAGCGGUGAAAUGCAUAGAUAUUACACAGAACACCAAUUGCGAAGGCAGGUUACUAAACUUCUACUGACACUGAUGGACGAGAGCGUGGGGAGCGAACAGGAUUAGAUCCCCUGGUAGUCCACGCCGUAAACGAUGAUCACUCGCUGUCGGGGUUUUUACUUCGGUGACUGAGCGAAAGCAUUAAGUAAUCCACCUGGGGAGUACGUUGGCAACAAUGAAACUCAAAGGAAUUGACGGGGGCCCGCACAAGCGGAGGAACAUGUGGUUUAAUUCGAUGAUACGCGAGGAACCUUACCUGGACUUAAAUGGAGAACGACCGCCGCCGAAAGGUGGCUUCCCUUCGGGGCGAUUUUCAAGGUGCUGCAUGGUUGUCGUCAGCUCGUGCCGUGAGGUGUUGGGUUAAGUCCCGCAACGAGCGCAACCCCUAUCUUUAGUUGCCAUCAGGUUAUGCUGGGGACUCUAAAGAGACUGCCUAUGCAAAUAGUGAGGAAGGUGGGGACGACGUCAAGUCAUCAUGGCCCUUACGUCCAGGGCUACACACGUGCUACAAUGGCAAGUACAAUGAGCAGCCAUCUCGUGAGAGAGAGCGAAUCUCAAAAAGCUUGUCUCAGUUCGGAUUGGAGUCUGCAACUCGACUCCAUGAAGGCGGAUUCGCUAGUAAUCGCAUAUCAGCAAUGAUGCGGUGAAUACGUUCCCGGGCCUUGUACACACCGCCCGUCAAGCCAUGGAAGCUGGGGGUGCCUAAAGUCCGUAACCGCAAGGAGCGGCCUAGGGCAAAACUGGUAACUAGGGCUAAGUCGUAACAAGGUA